rnacentral:rRNA from 1 species
GACGAACGCUGGCGGCGUGCUUAACACAUGCAAGUCGAACGGAAAGGCCCUGCUUUUGUGGGGUGCUCGAGUGGCGAACGGGUGAGUAACACGUGAGUAACCUGCCCUUGACUUUGGGAUAACUUCAGGAAACUGGGGCUAAUACCGGAUAGGAGCUCCUGCUGCAUGGUGGGGGUUGGAAAGUUUCGGCGGUUGGGGAUGGACUCGCGGCUUAUCAGCUUGUUGGUGGGGUAGUGGCUUACCAAGGCUUUGACGGGUAGCCGGCCUGAGAGGGUGACCGGCCACAUGGGGACUGAGAUACGGCCCAGACUCCUACGGGAGGCAGCAGUGGGGAAUAUUGCACAAUGGGCGGAAGCCUGAGGCAGCAACGCCGCGUGCGGGAUGACGGCCUUCGGGUUGUAAACCGCUUUCGCCUGUGACGAAGCGUGAGUGACGGUAAUGGGUAAAGAAGCACCGGCUAACUACGUG